GUCCUGACGUGGUACUGUGUUGGUGUGGAACUCGUGGCUGGAAUACCCUGCAGUAAUGCCCCCUUAUUCAGGCCAUCAUGGCAUCGUGAAAAUUACACGCGUGGAGGAAGAGUGUGCCAGCUGUGUGAUCCCAAUCUGUAUAAAGUCUGCUGAGAAAGAAAAAUGAGAAGAAUCAGCAAUGGAUAUCAUCUCAUGCAGAGCCAUCCUGAAAUGAAUU